rnacentral:rRNA from 1 species
UACAGAGGUCCCGAGCGUUGUUCGGAUUCACUGGGCGUAAAGGGUGCGUAGGUGGUGAGGUAAGUCGGAUGUGAAAUCUCCGAGCUCAACUCGGAAAUGGCAUUGGAAACUACCUUGCUAGAGGGUUGGAGGGGGGACUGGAAUACUUGGUGUAGCAGUGAAAUGCGUAGAUAUCAAGUGGAACACCAGUGGCGAAGGCGAGUCCCUGGACAUUUCCUGACACUGAGGCACGAAAGCUAGGGGAGCAAACAGG